ensembl:lncRNA
CUAAAACUGUUGCUAUACUUACUUUUCUGGGUCCCGAAAGUUCGACCGUUCUAACCUUCUGACGAGGAGACGCGUCCGAUCCCAAAGUGUCGAAGGCCUUCCCUUUGGAGAGGCCCCUCGAUGUGGAAAAUCAUGUCCCAAAGUGUUUUCUUGGAGUCCAGGAAUGUUCCACCUAUCGGUAUGGCAUGGCAAGAGCCACUCUCCUCGUUGAGCAUAUUCCCAAAGAGCCAACCGGAACCCUAGGGCCUUGGAGCUGGCUCCCAGCUCCUACUCCCCUAGGCUGACUUGCUCCCCAGGUGCCAGGCAGCAUGCAACCCAUUUGAGGGGCAAAGAGGCGAGGCGAGCCGGCGCGGGCAUUUAGCUCCGUGGUUCCGGCGCCGGCCUCGCAAGCACAAGGGCCCGAGUUCGAGUCCCCCGCGAAACAAGCCCGGGAAAAAAAAAAAAAAAAAAAAAAAGUGAAGGCGACCGUAAUUCUUCGUUUUUGGUUUUUCGGUUUCUGUUCUUUUGGGGUGUUUUUCCUUUUCUGCCGGGGAUCGACCUUGAGGCCUUGCGCUGCUGAGACAGGCGCCAGAACCGCUGAGCUAAACCCCGGCCCCAUUAAUGUUCCUAUUACCUCCAAGCAAACGGGAAAAGGGAAUGAGGAAAUAAAAUGAAUGUUCCACGGAAAGAGCUGAAGGAUACAAACUGUUGAUCGAUCAGACAAAUGGGAAGGCACGUGACCUCAAACUUGGAAGGAAGAGUUAGAGAAGAUUUUAGUCUGCACUGCAAAUGAUAAACUAUUAGUUCACAACUAUUAGGGUGAAGUUUUGGUGCUGUUUUCCCGGAGGGCAUGUCACUUUUCCAAAAAUAACAUUAAAGACGCCGUCGUUUGAAAGGGAAAGAAUGAGUUUUAUCUAGACAUUACACCUCAGGUCCCCACAUGAGCUUCUCAAAUCACUGACGUUUUUAUAAAGGCACUUCGAGCUGGAUACUGCCUGCACCUUGCAUCGCAAAGGCCUCAGGGGUAUGUCACCAUUGCGUGUCCACUCUCUGACAUCCCAUGCCUUCAGUCAAACCCUCUGCGUCUUUCUCUGGCCCCAGCUGAACGCUAUUCCUAUCUUCUUGCCCUACCUAAAAUCCUGCUCUAUCUCCAAGUAUCCUGCUUUGGAGCCUUCUAGGGCAAGUGCCGUUUUCCUUGCCACAUUCCCUCCUCCUACCAGACCUAGAAGGGCAAGAGCUGUUGGAGAUUUUUUCCUCAGUGCCGCUUCUGGGUCCUUGGCCUGCCCGACUUGCAUAAAACAACUCUCCUUUUAAUCUUCUGUCAUCAGAUUCUCUCACCUGGUACUUUGCUUUCUUUUAUCCUUUGAUGAAUUCCCCGGUAACUUUCAUCUGCUCUUGUUUUCCCUUUGGCCCACUGUCUUGUCAUUCAACUGGACACUUGUCUUCAUUCCCGAUGACCUUACCACAUGGGUGAUCAUUUUCAUAUCUCACGUUUCAAAUCCUUGAUCCCUUUUCCAGUUUGACUCCCGCUUUAGUAGUGCCUUUAAAUAGGCAGGCCUUCAAAACCUCAAUUGCAACCUGUUCCCUAUUGAACCCACUACUCAGGUGCCUUUCGCAACACUGCUCCACCAUUUUUCCCACUCCUCUAACCUCUCUAAGACCAAGAGUUAAGUCGACUACCUCUUCCUAGUCUGUUGAAUAGUCUUUUCUUAUCCAACAGGAGGAUGCAUGCUUUUUCCACUGUCCUCAAAUCCACAAUAUUUUCUCCUUUCUCCCAUUGUCACCUCAGAGAAACAAAUAUGAAAAAGUGAGUAUUCUCACAAGUGCCUACACCAGGCUAGGUGGGUAUUGACCCCUACUGCGUGCCUUCCUUCCAUUUAGAGCACAGGUCCUCUUCUUUGGGGUAUCUUGGUUUCAUUCUUCCCAUUGGGCACAUUAGUUCCAUCAACUACCAGGACAAACUGGGAGGCUUGAAAACCUGUCGGUUUAGUAUUAAAGAGUUACGGAGACUAGAACUCCACAAUCAAGUCGUCCACAGGACUGCUUUCCUCUGGAGUCUCCGAGAAGGAUGUGCUAUAGGCCUCUCGAUCGUAUCUUCUGGCAGAUUCUUGCAAUUCUUACCAUUUGGCUUAUGGAUUCAUCACUCCAAUCUCUGCCUCAUUCUCUCUGAGUCUGCGUCUGUAUUCAAGUUUCCCUCUCCUUAGGAAGCACCGCCAAUUGGAUGAAGAGACAACGUACUUCCAGUAUGACCUGAUUUCGCUUGACUGUCUCGUUAAUUAUUUAUUCAUUCGUGUGCAGUGUUUGGCGGCGGGAGAUGGAACGCGGGCCUUUCGGCUUGCAAGGCGGGCGGCAGAACCACUGCGCUAAAUGCCCGGCCCACGACCUCAUUUCCAAUCGAUUCCCUUUGGAAAGGCGUAAAGCCACUAUUUCCAACGAAGGCCACGUUCAAAGGUGUCAGAAAAAUGAAAAGACUACGUGUUCCUACUCAUUUGUGGGAGCAAAAAUGACAGUUUGAUCCUAGAGAAGUAAAGAGGGGAAUAAAGUUCCAUAGAAAAGAAGGAGUCAGAAAAAUGAAGAGUGGUUGGAGAAUGGGCCUGCAAUACAUGGACACUGCGAGGAGGAGUUAUGUUAGUUGCGUUGUGGCUAGAACUCUAGACUAAGGAGUUUCUGAUCUGUUCAAAACAACGCAAAGAUAAGAAGCUGAAGUGUCAUAGCACAUAGAAAUGAUAACUAUAUGAAGAAUGGAAAUGCUAAUUACUCGGAUUGGUUGCUAUAGAGUGCAUGCAUACAGCACAUUCUUCUUUCGUAUGCUACAACUAUAUCCAAAUAUUUGGUGUCCAUUAAAACACGGAGUGAUAUGCAAGGUAAAAGAAAGACAGUUGUCUUUCAGAAAUACAUACUAAACGCUUUCACAGCUUUCUGUCAGAAGCAACUUGGUAAGGAGAAAUUGGAGUAGCUAUGUCCCCAGGCAAUAAGGUGACCAGGGGAUAGUUCCAUCUGGAUUAUUGGACAUAGUUUAAAUCACAUCACUUUUUAAAAAGCAAAGCAAAGGAAACCGGAUUUUGUUCCCCACACCUCGACUCCUAAGAAAUCCAUAGAACUCUUUCAGGAUUUUGCUGAGGAGGAUAUUGUGGGAAUCAAGAAAGAAGGAAAUGAUAAAAGUUUGAUUGCCAAAAAGUGUGCUUAGGAAUUUGUAAGUAUUUCUUUACUAAAAGUAUAAAUCGUCAUGUCCUCUAUCUCCCUGCACACACACACACACACACACACACACACACACACACACACACAUAUAUAUAUAUAUGAUAAAAUAAAAUAUGAUAUAUGAUAUAUGAAAUAUGAUAUAUGAUAUAUGAUAAAAUAAAAUAUGAUAACAUAAAAUAAAACACCUACUAGAAAAAUUAUUCAAUGAGAUUUGAGUUUAAAAGAGUGUAGUCCUUUUAAAUGUAAAAUGUGCUAAAAUCCGAAUGACAUUUACAAAUGAAUUCUAAUGCAUGACUUCUUCUGGGGUCUGAAAGCUGCACUGUGAGAGGUCCCAUGGCAUACCUAUAAAGAAACAUCGCUCUCUACCUGCCAUAAUGAGGGUUUUCAUUCCCUUCAUGAAAAUAUUCCCUUUUACAAAUUGCCAGCCAGGCCGAAUUGGACCAUUUGUUCUAGCUCAGCUCUGCCUCUAUCAUUUUAGAUAACUCUAUCCAUAGCUAGAUCAUCAAUCUAAACAUUAGAUUAAUAGACAUUUGUGCUUUGUUACCUUUACAUAUCAGAGAACAGGACACAUUCCAAUGAUGUUGGAAAAACUAUUACUCACAACCUGUGCAAUCGUUUAGGGAAAAAAGCCUGAACGUGAAGAAACUGUACUGGCUUCAAGCUGCUCUGGUUUGGUACGUCACAAUCCCUUCAUGACAUCAGCCCUCCACAUCACCAGGGUGGACAUCUAAGGCUGAAGGUCUGGCCGCAGGUAAGAAGAGGAAAGGUCUCUUCCACUGCUUUCGACCGUUCUAACCUUCUGACGAGGAGACGCGUCCGAUCCCAAAGUGUCGAAGGCCUUCCCUUUGGAGAGGCCCCUCGAUGUGGAAAAUCAUGUCCCAAAGUGUUUUCUUGGAGUCCAGGAAUGUUCCACCUAUCGGUAUGGCAUGGCAAGAGCCACUCUCCUCGUUGAGCAUAUUCCCAAAGAGCCAACCGGAACCCUAGGGCCUUGGAGCUGGCUCCCAGCUCCUACUCCCCUCGGCUGACUUGCUCCCCAGGUGCCAGGCAGCAUGCAACCCAUUUGAGGGGCAAAGAGGCGAGGCGAGCCGGCGCGGGCAUUUAGCUCCGUGGUUCCGGCGCCGGCCUCGCAAGCGCAAGGGCCCGAGUUCGAGUCCCCGCGCGAAACAAGCCCGGGAAAAAAAAAAAAAAAAAAAAAAAAUGAAGGCGACCGUAAUUCUUCGUUUUUGGUUUUUCGGUUUCUGUUCUUUUGGGGUGUUUUUCCUUUUCUGCCGGGGAUCGACCU